rnacentral:lncRNA from 1 species
GUGAUUUUUUAAUACUUGAAAAGGUAAAGAAGAAAUACAUACAAAGUUACAAAGCAAUAAAAGCUCGUAAGGAAAAAAAUAAAUAAUUUCAUGGCAUACAUGAUUCAGAAUCACAAUUGAACCUAAUAUCGCGUUAGAUGUUAAUUAGAUGACAAGUUCAAAUAUUGAAAUCAAAGGUUAAAGAACUUUGCUAUUUGUACAUUGAUUUUUGACACGUUCGUUGUGCUUUGCCUACUGUCUUUGAAUAAUGAUCAAUUCCAAGGCCGAAAAGAAAGCUUAUUAGAGCAUUGAAUGGACCUCUGAAUCUUUUGCGCUAAUUCCAUCAAUUGUUGGGGGAGGGUGGUUGUAGAUCCGCUGCUAAACUCAUUUGGAAACUGACCCCUUCAAGCCUAUAGCCGGCAAAGUCACUCACAACGGAGAAAGGGACCCCGUCCCAAUUCAAGGAAAAAUAUGAUAGUCUACAUUGUUGUCAAGUGUCAAUUGGAUGGAAAAACUGUUUGAAAUUUAAAUUGUCAAAUAUGAUAAUGAUACAUGACAAAGUGUAAACUAAAUGGUACACCACAGUGUACAUGUAGCAGAGUUCAGGAGCCCUUUUUGCCAAUCAACAAUAUCUAUGUUCAAGCAUCGUCUAAGGCAAUUUUUUACUAAUAAUUAGUUCUGUUGAAACUGUCCAACCACUCGGUGUUGGUGCGAUGUCUCCAAGUACACGAGAAAGAGAUAGAUGAACAAGGGGGAAAUUGCAAAUCUUGACCCAUGAAAAACCUGACUUCAAGUUACAUGUUGACACUUUUUCCAUCAUCAAUUCUAUGAUAUAUUGUGGAAUACAUAUACGUCUCAUGAUAGUAUAGAUGUUUGUAUUCAAGGUCUUUAAUUUGUCUCUCAAGAAUGACAAAGUAUAAACAAGAUUUUUGUAGGAAAAAUGACGCAAAUGAUAAGUUUGUUAUGCAUGAAAAUCAAGGGAAUGCAAGUGUUAUAUGGGCUUGUCCAACCCAAGAAGAAAAAGCCCAAUCCUCUUUAUUUUCGGUCAACAGAAGUGGCUACAUACACAUAUAUAGUCUCAAAAACCAUUGAUGGCGUGCAAGAAGAGACAAAACCAAGGCUGCUGGGAAGAAAAUUAAAACCAUAGCUACUAUAUAAAAUACAGAGAGACUCUUGCUUGAACUAAAAGAAGAAAACCAAGCUGCUAGAAGAAGGAAAAAUAAUUGGAAGGAAAGUUUUCUUUUAAUCUUUUGGGUGUAGAUUCACACAAGAUUUAUUCUACAUAAUACAAAUUGGAAUUUUUCUAAGGUUUAUUUUGGGUAUUCUAGAGGUGUAGUAUUCCAAGUGAGUUCUCACAAUUUUAAUCAAAUUGGUGAUUUGUGGUGAGAUUAUUUAUUGUCCUUAGAGAGUAAUUAUUGUGUAUUUCCAAUUUGUUGAGAAUUCAAAUUUUGGAGCAUAGACUUGAAUAUUGUAAUCUAUAUUUUUAUUAUAGUGGAUUUGGUCGUAGUUGCCCUGUCAUUUUUUUCCCUCUACACUGGAGGAUUUUUUCAAUGUAAAAAUUUGGUGUUACGUUUUGCUUUUUUUAUUUUGAUCAUCUAUUUGCAUAUUCAAUCACUCUAGUUGGUUGCUUGGAUUGGUGAAUUUAUUCUUACAAUAAGUGAAAUUGCCUAACAAAGUGGUAUUAGAGCUCAUGUUAUGUGAGUGUGAUUUAUUACGGGAAUAAAAGGAGAAUAUUUCGGGCACUAUGAUUUAAUUAGUGGUUUCAAAUUAUUCUAUUUGGAAGCUUAUGAUGGAGGAUAUCAUUUAUUAUAAGGAUUUACAUAAACCUAUUGAAUGUGAUGGUGCUAAACCAAGCACUAUGAGUGAUAGUAACUGGAAGGAGAUGAAUGAAAAAGCCAUUGGAUAGAUUAGACAGUGGGUUGACCUUAAUGUAUUUCAUCAUGUAUCUCGCCCAUAGUCUUUAGGAAAAAAAUGGGGAGUUUGUAGGAGAUGAAAACUACUCAAAAUAAAACUUUUGCUAUUAAAAAGUUUGUAAAUCUGAAACUAGAGUAGGGAGAAUCAGUUGCUGAGAAUUUGAGUGAAUUCCAAUACUUGAUAAAUUAGUUGAUCACAAUGAAAAUAGUGCUAGAUGAUGAGAUGCAAACACUAUUACUUCUGAGUUCAUUGCCUGAUAAUUGGGAGACUUUGGCUAUAUCACUUAGUAACUCUAUUUCGAAUCGUGUGCAUGAACUUACUUUAGUUGACAAUUUGUUUAAUGAAAAAAUACGAAGGAAGGACUUGGGUAGGAACGAUGCACAAGCUCUUAUUACAGAAAACAGAGGAAGGAGUAAAAGCAAAGGUCCUAAGAGACGUUGUAACUUCAGAAGUCAAUCAAAGAUAAGAGGAAAUGUCAAAUGUUUUUAUUAUGACAAAGAGGGUCAUAUAAAGAAACAUUGCAUGGCUUGCAAAAAUAAAUUGAAAGAGGAGAAAAAUCAGAAAAAAACUAAUCAAAAUACAGUCGCUAGCGCUUCAGAUGAAGAAGAAUUAGUAAUAGUUUUUUCGCUGAAGAUGAGCAGUGUUGUCAUGUUGCAGAUUCAUUUGUUGAAUGAGUUAUUUACUCAACGGCUUCUUACCAUGUUACUCCAAGACGAGAGCUCUCCACUUCAUACAAAUCAGGCAACUUUGGUAGGGUAAAGAUGGUUAAUGACAGUUUUGUCAGUAUUAUGGGAAUUGAUGAUAUCUCUCUUCAGACAGAUAUUAAAUAUAACUUGACAUUGAAGAAUGUAUAACAUGUUCCCGACAUGUGCUUGAAUUUGCUAUCUAUACAUGCCUUUGAUGAAACAGGGUACGAUCGUUAUUUUGACAACGGAAGAUGGAAACUAACAAACGGUCGAUGGUAUUUGCUAGAGGAAAAUUUAUUGCACACUUUACAAGACACAAAUAAAGGUGUGUAGUGAAGCGAUAAAUACAACUAAAAGUGAUUCAUCACUAGACUUGUGGCACAAGCGAUUGGCUCACAUGAGCUAGAAAGGACUACAUAUUUUGGCAAGGAAGUCUCUCAUUCCUUUUACCAAAAGUAUAUCAUUAAAUUCAUGUGAUUAUUGUUUAUUUGGUAGACAGCAUCGAGUUUCCUUUAAAAAAUCCUCUAGUAGAAAACCUAAUAUUUUAGAUUUGAUUUAUUCUAAUGUUUGUGGUCCCAUUGAGGUGGAAUCCUUAGGUGAUAUAUUUCUUACUUUUAUUGAUAAUGCUUCACGAAAGUUGUGGGUGUUCUUUUUUAGAUCAAAAAAUUAGGUUUUCCAAUAUUUCAAGAAAUUUCAUGCUAUGGUAGAAUGGAAAAGUGGAAAGAUUUUGAAGUGUCUUCGAACUAAUAAUAGAGGAGAAUACACGUCUAAAGUGUUUGAAAAUUACUGGUCAGAACAUGGAAUUAGACAUGAGGAGAUAGUACUUGUACUCUACAGCAUAAUGGUGUGGUAGAAAGAAUGAACCAUACCAUUGUAGAAAAGGUCAGGAUCAUGUUAAGGAUGACUGGGUUACGUAAGUCAUUUUGAGGUGAAGCAGUUUGAACAGCGUGCUACUUAAUUAACCGAUCUCCAUCAGGUCCUUUAGAUUUUGAGAUUCAAAAAAAUUGUGGACAGGAAAAGAUAUUUUUUAUUCUCACUUAAAGGUUUUUUGGUAUAAAGCAUUUGCACGUGUGGCUAAGGAACAAAGGGUGAAGCUAGAUAAUAAAGCUAGUCCUUGCAUUUUUUUGGCUACGAAGAUGUAAAAUUUGGCUAUAGAUUAUGACAUCCAGAAAAGAAGAAAAUAAUCAGAAGUAGAGAUGUGAUCUUUCAUGAAAAUCAAAAGUUGGCGAAUUUCGAGAAAUUUGGGAUUCAAAGACGUGUUGAUAAGGGUGUCACUGACCUUAUAACUGUAUCUUUGCCUCCAGAUAGUGCCACUCAGGGGAUAGAGACACAUGUUGACGAUCAUACUGAUGAACCAACAGGGGUUGAUGAUGAUGAUUUAGAGGAUAUUGAACAGGGAGAGUAGCCUACUAUAUCAUAACCUCAUAUCAGAAGAUGUAAUAGACAGCAUCGUUUAUCAACCAGGUAUCCAGCAUCAGAUUAUAUGUUGGCAAUUGAUGAGGGAAAGAAAAAUGUUUUCAGGAGGUACAAUCUUAUAAAGACAAAUAGAACUGGGUGAAGGUUAUACAUGAAGAGAUGAGUUCUUUAUAGAAGAAUAACACUCAUGAGUUUGCAGAGUUUCCUGAAGGUAAAAAGGCAUUAAAAAAGAAAUGGGUGUUCAAGGUAAAUAAAGAUUACGAAAAGCUAGUGAAGUAUAAAGCUCAACUGGUGGUGAAGAGUUUCGAUCAGAAAAAAUGGAUUGACUUUGAUGAGAUAUUCUCUCCUGCUGUCAAAAUGACUUCCAUUCGAGUAGUUUUAGGUUUAGUAGCCAGUUUGGAUCUUGAGCUUGAGCAAUUAGAUGUGAAGACCACUUUUCUCCAUGGGGAUUUGGAGGAAGAAAAUCUAUAUGGUUCAGCCAGAAGGAUUUGAAGUAAGAGAAAAAGAGCAUAUGGUUUGCAUAUUGAAAAAGAGUUUAUAUGGGUUGAAACAAGCUCCAAGACAGUGGUAUAAGAAGUUUGAUUCCUUUAUGGUGGAUCAUGGUUAUACCAGGACAGAUGCAGAUCAUUGUGUUUAUAUCAGAGAAUUUCGUAGUGGUAACUUUAUCAUCCUUUUGCUACAUGUAGAUAAUAUGUUGAUAGUGGGACAAGAUGUGUAGUUGAUUCGAAGUUUGAAGGUAUAUGUAUUCAAAUCGUUUGACAUGAAGGAUCUUGAACUAGCAAUACAAAUUUUGGGGAUACAUAUUCAUCGUGAUAGGAAAGCCAGAAUGUUAUGGUUAUCACAAGAGAAAGAGAAUGCUAGAAAUGUUUAACAUGAAAAAUGCUAAACCAAUUGGAAUAGCACUUAGUAGCCACUUCAAACUGAGUAAGGUGACUUGUUCUUCUAAGAAGGAAAAUAAAGAAAGAAUGGCAAAAGUUUCUUACUCCUCAACAGUUGGGAGUUUAAUGUAACCCAUGAUUUGUACACGGCCAGACAUUGCUCAUGCAGUUGGGGUAGCCAGCAGGUUUCUUGUUAAUCCCGAUAAAAUCAUUGGGAGGCAGUGAAAUGGAUCUUUAAAUACUUGAGAGGAACUUUAACAUGUGCUUGACUUUUGGAGUUUCAAAACCAAUUUUGGAGGGUUGUAUAGAUGCAGAUAUGACUGGUGACGUUGAUGAUAGAAAAUCAACUUCAGAACAUUUGAUUACUUUUGUAGGGGGAGCUGUUUUGUAGUAGUCAAAACUACAAAAGUGUAUUGCCUUAUCUACAACUAAGGUUGAGUAUAUUGUAGCAAUUGAAAUAGCGAAAGAAAUGCUUUCGAUGAAAUGAUUUCUGUAAAAUUUGGGUUUGAAGCAAGACGGACGACAUGAUCCAUCCCGAAUCACCUUAGUGGACUCGACACGUGUCUUGUGCCGAUUGUAGAUACCAGUUGAACUCGGACCCACCAAUAAGGCACCUUUACUUAUU